AUCAGGCCCCCAGAGAGGAGGGUGAAGACGAGGAAGAGCAUCAGAUUGGUGGCGUGCGUCUCCUUGCCGCCUUUCACACUUGUGUCGUUGCUAACACUAUCGCCAUCUGGUAUGUUCUCCAUGUUUCACAAAUAAAGAGGAAGCGUACUUGUACGAAACCGCUGCUAAUAUUCGAUAUCCGGUGUGAAGACAAUUAGCAGUGUUUUUGCCACCUGUCUAUUCAACGGACACUUUCACACUUCGUCAGCAGUCGCUCGGCUCAGGGUGCCAUAUGCUGCCGAAGAUACGUCAGUUUGAACAGUUACGCCUCGUGACUGUCGUGAAUGCGGAUUUCUCUUGUCAAUGGGAUCCAGUCCCUGCCAGCUGGCAACUGUGAUGUGCCUUCAGUACCGCGGUGCAGACGAAUUUCUCUGGUAGUGCAAGUUGUUGACGCGGACGUGCGCAAUGGUUUUGGCGAGGCUGGCGAUGUGACGAACUAUAGUUUCUCCUCGCGUUGACGUGGUAAGGUGACCGAAAGAAGGGGGUUGGGGUCAGCAUGGAGGAGGAGGCAGAAAAAGAAGUGGGGGUUAGGGGCGUAGAAAUGACAGCAUCGUGGCAGUGUCGCUAUCUGCCUACGUGGUCUGGAGAUAAAAGUCGCAAGUCCACGUGGAAGAAACGCAGGCCCUCUGCCCCUCCCCCUUCAGAGGUAUGACCACAUGCCAUUACCCACGCCCGAGGCGCUCCGUAACAACCACCCCCCUUUCACUGUCCCAGGUGUACGUACCCACCCAAUCGUGUGUCAGUCACUGGAGCCGCGGGCACAGCGUUAAACACAAUAUUCUGGAGCUGUGCGCCGUCACCAAACCUGCUGACGCUAGGCUCACGGCUGUAAUUUAGAGCCCGAUGGGGACCACAUGCAUCCGCUAGCAGCAGACAGCAGUGCUUCGAUCCAUCUGUUCUUCUACCCACACACGAAAACACUCUUCAGAUGCUGUGGGGAAGGCUUCUGCUCUCAGUUCACUGAUGCAUGACUGAUUUAUUCUGACCACCUACUGCCUGAAGGGAGGAUAUUUAUGACAGAAAUCUAAAGCACAGUAAACUCAAAGGGAGCAGCAGUAUGCUUUUUCUUCAUCAUAGCUUGUACGCACAGGUGAAAAUUUGCAUAAUCGUGUGUGUGUGUGAGAGAGAGAGAAGGUCAGCAGCGCAUACGAGACAGAUUGAAAAAUAGAGGAAAAAUAUUUUCACUUCAGGUCAGAUAGCAUCUGAGACUGGCAGAUCUAAUAUGGCCACUGAUUCACUAAUGUAUUUUGUUGUUUUAUUGGUCACAUGGUAAUGAAAUCUAAACUUUUUUGAAAAUUCAUUUUCUUGCCAGAUAUGUGUUUAAGAAAAAGUCUGGUCCUUACAAAUGAUAGCCCAGACAAUUCAGUGUUUCUCCCUAAACCCCUAAAAAAAAGAUCACCAAAAUGUCAUUUUUGUAUAAAUAUACAUUGAGCAGAUGUAAAUAAUAUAGUAUGCUGAUAUAAAUUAGAAAAGUCUCUAAAAGAUGAAAGGCACACAUUGUACUUCAAGACAUUCCAUCAGAUGAGGAAAAGCAAGAGAUGAAUAAAGUUGCAAAAUCAUAAUUUUUUUUAUCCAUACAUUAAGAUACAUUGUUGCAUCACAUACUAGAAAUAAAAAGGUAUAUGAAAGAAAACAGUAACAGGAAAUAACUUCUGAUGUUUAGUUCUUUCAGUAGAUCUCUGCUUGCAUAAUUUGAAGAAAUUAGAAAUAAAACUUUGUACAUGCAAA